GGAAAUUAAGCCCUGCAGACCUCCCCUUGCCAUGUGGUUUCUACAAAGUUUUAUCAAAGGGAGACACUGGCCGGGGAUGAUGAGGAAGCCUGGACUAUACAAUCUCCCUGUGGCUUGUUUUGGAGAUUGCAUUCUUACCCAAAUACUCUACGUGAUUGCCUGCUUUGCGGCUUUGGGCUGGUGAUUGGAAGAAGAAAGAAGAUACACAUUAGUGAUACCAUGUUAAAGUGCACUCCGGUUCUGGAACCUUUUAAAAUGUAUUGUGUUUUUAGGUGAAACCUGCAAAACCACUCCUAAGAGGCUUAAUUUAGGUUUUAGAGGAAGAACAUAAAAAAGACCAGGUUACAGCAACACAUUGAAAUAUGGAGUACAUUUUAAAUAUCUUCAUUUAAAAACGUAUGUUUAUUUUCCCUCCUGGGAUCACUAACGUGUGUCUCGACAGGGAAAGAAGAACGUGAGACAUUCUUAAAAAUUAUUUGUUGAAGGGAUCAUAUUCCAAGACAGGUUUGAGCGUUUUUAUUACUGCAGAUAACCUCUUAAUUAUGUCACUGCCUUCUACUUGUUAAUCAAGGACAUUCAACAUAGUUAACUGUGGAGUGGUUGCCUUUAGAAGAAUAUAUUAUUAUUAAGAAUCAAAUACACUUUAUUUCUAUCGUAUGAUCACAGGUACUGUAGGGUUUUAGCACUGGGAAAAACCUAUUUAUUUGCUAUGUACAUAACAACUAAGAAACAGUCUGGAUGCCUGUAACAGUGUUGCUCAUUACCACAAACUGCAGUCCAUGAAAAGCUUUUAAGGUCCGGAUCAUUUUCCUUCUCCUGCCUCCUGCCUGUGCCACACUAUCCCUAUUUAAAGCAAUUUUAGGUUUCUUCUGAAGUCACCAGCAUCAGAGAUAUUCAUAUACUCUUUCAGAGAGCCAGGUGUAAAUGGAGUAAAUAAAAUCACGUUUCUCUGUUGCUUUAUCAAUCCUCCUAGGUAGUUUUUUCUGCCAGCCAACCUGCACUGUUAAGACCCAUAAAAUUAUGCAAUAGCGACUUCUUUGGAGCUUCUCUAAUCAGAUAAUGGCAGGUGUUAGGAGAGCAGGGCCCAAGGCAGUGUUGCUAGCACUUAACACUGUGGUUGGUCAUUACUUGUCUGGUAGAGACCAAUAAACAACUGAUUACUAUCCUAUAAGGAGCCAGUAUUUUACAUCUAUCCUAGUUACUUUUUCCUUUUCUUUUUGACUUCUUAUAACAGCAAGUAUUUGUCAAGAAGAUCUAUGAGAAAUAGCCUCACAGGCAUCUUAAAAAUAAGAAAUUUCCUAGCACAAAAUGAUGACUUUUGUGGAAAGCUGAGAAUGAUCCUGAUUUUUACAAGGAAGGUUUAAUUAGCUUAAAGUUCAUUUGUUUCAGACAUAGACACUUCUGGACACCAUCCCCCACUGCUCCUCUCACCCUAGUCCCUUCUUGCCUCUAUGGCAGGUUCACAGGCUGCAACCAAGGAGUUUUAAAAUGCAAAUAUUUAUAUUUGAGCUCUGGCAAUAACAGGGCUAUUUUGCUUCCUCAGUAAACCUGUGAUAAUUGAUGCUUCAUAUCUGGAGCUCGGUUUCAUUUAUCUCUUUACAUGUGAAGAUAGUAUGUAAAUAAAAGGUAAUUUAUGGAAAGGA